UGCAAGUCGAACGGUAAGGCCUUUCGGGGUACACGAGUGGCGAACGGGUGAGUAACACGUGGGUGAUCUGCCCUGCACUUCGGGAUAAGCCUGGGAAACUGGGUCUAAUACCGGAUAUGACUGCGAAUCGCAUGGUUUGUGGUGGAAAGCUUUUGCGGUGUGGGAUGGGCCCGCGGCCUAUCAGCUUGUUGGUGGGGUGAUGGCCUACCAAGGCGACGACGGGUAGCCGGCCUGAGAGGGUGACCGGCCACACUGGGACUGAGAUACGGCCCAGACUCCUACGGGAGGCAGCAGUGGGGAAUAUUGCACAAUGGGCGCAAGCCUGAUGCAGCGACGCCGCGUGAGGGAUGACGGCCUUCGGGUUGUAAACCUCUUUCAGUAGGGACGAAGCGCAAGUGACGGUACCUAUAGAAGAAGGACCGGCCAACUACGUGCCAGCAGCCGCGGUAAUACGUAGGGUCCGAGCGUUGUCCGGAAUUACUGGGCGUAAAGAGCUCGUAGGUGGUUUGUCGCGUUGUUCGUGAAAACUCACAGCUCAACUGUGGGCGUGCGGGCGAUACGGGCAGACUAGAGUACUGCAGGGGAGACUGGAAUUCCUGGUGUAGCGGUGGAAUGCGCAGAUAUCAGGAGGAACACCGGUGGCGAAGGCGGGUCUCUGGGCAGUAACUGACGCUGAGGAGCGAAAGCGUGGGGAGCGAACAGGAUUAGAUACCCUGGUAGUCCACGCCGUAAACGGUGGGUACUAGGUGUGGGUUUCCUUCCUUGGGAUCCGUGCCGUAGCUAACGCAUUAAGUACCCCGCCUGGGGAGUACGGCCGCAAGGCUAAAACUCAAAGAAAUUGACGGGGGCCCGCACAAGCGGCGGAGCAUGUGGGAUUAAUUC
rnacentral:rRNA from 1 species